rnacentral:rRNA from 1 species
UACGUAGGGUGCAAGCGUUAAUCGGAAUUACUGGGCGUAAAGCGUGCGCAGGCGGUUUUGUAAGUCCGCUGUGAAAGUCCAGGGCUCAACCCUGGAAUGCCGGUGGAUACUGUCGGGCUCGAAUCCGGAAGAGGUGAGUGGAAUUCCUGGUGUAGCGGUGAAAUGCGCAGAUAUCAGGAGGAACACCAAUGGCGAAGGCAGCUCACUGGGACGGUAUUGACGCUGAGACGCGAAAGCGUGGGGAGCAAACAGG